rnacentral:rRNA from 1 species
UACGUAGGCAACAAGCGUUGUUCGGAGUUACUGGGCGUAAAGAGUGCGUAGGCGGUCCUGUAAGUUUGGUGUGAAAUCUCCCGGCUCAACUGGGAGGGUGCGCCGAAGACUGCAGGGCUUGAGUAUGGGAGAGGUAAGCGGAAUUCCUGGUGUAGCGGUGAAAUGCGUAGAUAUCAGGAGGAACACCUGUGGUGUAGACAGCUUACUGGACCAUAACUGACGCUGAGGCACGAAAGCGUGGGUAGCAAACAGG